rnacentral:lncRNA from 1 species
AAUUCUUUUCAUUGCACAUUCUUUGUUGUCGCGUUUGUGUGGUGUAAAGAUUUGAGUUAUUCUGAAUUUUUAAUGAAUUAAUAAUUUGAUUUGCCAUCUUCAAAGAAAAAAAGUAGAUAUAUUCAAAACUUAAUCUUUUAUCUUCAAUUUUUAAAUCAUAAUCCAUUGUACAGCAUUUUGGACCAUUGAGAGCUGGACAAGACAACCAAAGCAGGUUAUGGUGCUGAAAGUACCAUUAUUGUAAACUGGACUUCUACAAUCCAUUUGAGGGUGUAGUAAUAUCUGCUACUAUCUGCUACUAUUUCCUCCCUAAGGGCGUUGUAACGGACAUAAAUUAAGGCUUAGAAAUAAGAAUGUCACAACAGUGAUGUUGUCUACACAUAGAGGUAGCGGGAAAGUAUAGGUCCUAUUUGUAGGGACAGACAGUGCCACUCUGCACGUUAAAGAACCCUUGUCACAACUCUUUUGAGGUGUCAGUAGGAUGUGGCUUGUUGCAUUAAUAGGCUAAAUUUCUGUCCAAAAAUAUCCUCUUCGGUUGGCAGUCAAAAUUCCCCCUCCCUUCACCAUAGGAUUGGACCACUUUAUAGAACCUACAAAUUGAUUUGUUGUGAUAUCAAGAGAUGUGAGACAACUAUCCUACAGAGACCAAAUGAUGUUAAUGUAAAAUAGGUUACUGUAUGGGCUUCAACAAUGAGAAAAU